rnacentral:tRNA from 1 species
GUUUCCGUGGCCGAGUGGUUAAGGCCAUAGACUAGAAAUCUUUUGGGAUUUCCCGCGCAGGUUCGAAUCAUGUAAGUAAUC